UACGUAGGGGGCUAGCGUUGUCCGGAAUCAUUGGGCGUAAAGCGCGCGUAGGUGGCUCUAUAAGUCCGUUGUGAAAGUCAAAGGCUCAACCUUUGAAAGCCGAUGGAUACUGUAGAGCUAGAGUCCGGAAGAGGCGAGUGGAAUUCCUGGUGUAGCGGUGGAAUGCGCAGAUAUCAGGAGGAACACCGGUGGCGAAGGCGGGUCUCUGGGCCGAAACUGACGCUGAGGAGCGAAAGCGUGGGGAGCGAACAGG
rnacentral:rRNA from 1 species